rnacentral:rRNA from 1 species
AUUAUGAAAGACAAAAAAUUAUGGCGGUAUUUUAAGCUUUUCAGAGGAAUUUGCUCUUUAAUGGAUAAAACACCUAAAUCUUACUUAAAUUUGUUAAUUCAAUUUGUAUACCACUAUAAAAACAAUUUAUAACUUUAAUUGUUGGUAUUUAUUAAAUUAAAAUAUAUUAAGUCAAGGUGCAGUAAAAAUUUAAGGAUGAAGUGAAUUACAUUACUUUUUAGAGAAAUAAAUUUAAAAUAAUAUUUAGGAUUUGAAAGUAAAAUUAAAAUAUAAUGUUAAUUUGAAUUAAGCUCUAAAAUAUGUACACAUCGCC